rnacentral:rRNA from 1 species
GGCCCAGACUCCUACGGGAGGCAGCAGUAGGGAAUCUUCCGCAAUGGACGAAAGUCUGACGGAGCAACGCCGCGUGAGUGAAGAAGGUUUUCGGAUCGUAAAACUCUGUUGUGAGGGAAGAACAAGUACCAAUUAACUACUGGUACCUUGACGGUACCUCACCAGAAAGCCACGGCUAACUACGUGCCAGCAGCCGCGGUAAUACGUAGGUGGCAAGCGUUGUCCGGAAUUAUUGGGCGUAAAGCGCGCGCAGGCGGUCCUUUAAGUCUGAUGUGUAAGCCCACGGCUCAACCGUGGAGGGUCAUUGGAAACUGGGGGACUUGAGUGCAGAAGAGGAAAGUGGAAUUCCACGUGUAGCGGUGAAAUGCGUAGAGAUGUGGAGGAACACCAGUGGCGAAGGCGACUUUCUGGUCUGUAACUGACGCUGAGGCGCGAAAGCGUGGGGAGCAAACAGGAUUAGAUACCCUGGUAGUCCACGCCGUAAACGAUGAGUGCUAAGUGUUAGGGGGUUUCCGCCCCUUAGUGCUGCAGCUAACGCAUUAAGCACUCCGCCUG